CUAAGGUUAUUAUCUUCUAUUCG
rnacentral:snRNA from 1 species